rnacentral:rRNA from 1 species
GCGGCUUUCUGGCCCACAACUGACGCUGAGGCGCGAAAGCUGGGGGAGCAAACAGGAUUAGAUACCCUGGUAGUCCCAGCUGUAAACGAUGGAUACUAGGUGUGGGGGGAUCUACCCCCUCCGUGCCGCAGUUAACGCAAUAAGUAUCCCACCUGGGGAGUACGGCCGCAAGGCUGAAACUCAAAGGAAUUGACGGGGGCCCGCACAAGCGGUGGAGCAUGUGGUUUAAUUCGAUGCAACGCGAAGAACCUUACCGGGAUUUGACAUCUCCUGUUACCCUUUGAAAGAAGGGGUUCUCUUCGGAGACAGGAAGACAGGUGGUGCAUGGUUGUCGUCAGCUCGUGUCGUGAGAUGUUGGGUUAAGUCCCGCAACGAGCGCAACCCCUAUCUUUAGUUGCUAACACUUUGGGUGAGCACUCUAGAGAGACUGCCGGUGAUAAACCGGAGGAAGGUGGGGACGACGUCAAAUCAUCAUGCCCUUUAUGUCCCGGGCUACACACGUGCUACAAUGGCCUAUACAGAGGGAAGCGACCUGGCGACAGGUAGCGGAUCCCUUAAAAUAGGUCUCAGUUCGGAUUGCAGGCUGCAACUCGCCUGCAUGAAGCAGGAAUCGCUAGUAAUCGCAGGUCAGAAUACUGCGGUGAAUACGUUCCCGGGCCUUGUACACACCGCCCGUCACACCACGAAAGUCUGUCACGCCCGAAGCCGGUGGCCUAACCGCAAGGAGGGAGCCGUCGAAGGCAGGAUAGGUGAUUGGGGUGAAGUCGUAACAAGGUAACC